GUUAUAUCACAUCAAGUAGUCAAUGUUUAUCCAAAUUGACAUUUGAUUUGCUGAACGUAUCAAAAAGUUGGUGGAGGUUUGCAAGGCUCUGUAAGAUUUGUUUUUCUUGACAAUUUCGCCCAAGGAUAUCGGCAAGAAUGUAAAAGAAAGAAAGACUUGAAAACAUCCGGAGGAAAAGGAAGGAGCUGUUACACACACUGGCUGUUUCUUCGUGAGGAUACGGAACCUCGAACUUCAAAUCUUGCUGAUACGGUGCCUUAGUUAUAUUGCUCUAUUUUGAUAAAAGUCAGCAAUGAAAGACAGUUGUACCGCUAACGUUUCAUGGCAAAUUUUGUGGUCAGAAAUUCAAGUGCAAUGUUUCGACAGGAUUUCCAUAGUUGCAGCACAAUCGGUGCCGCUGGAUAUGUUGGGCACGGGAACCUGUCUUCGUAAAGGAUUAAUGAGAGAGUAUCUACUUCCUAUCCGGACGACCCACAAAUGACAGUUCUCACUUAGGAUAAGAAUUUUUUGUAA